GAUAAACGCUGGCGGCGCACAUAAGACAUGCAAGUUGAACGGACUUAAUCGAAAUAUUUCUAUUUUGAAGCGGUUAGUGGCGGACUGGUGGGUAACGCGUAAGGAACCUGCCUAUUAGAGGGGAAUAACAGUGAGAAAUCAUUGCUAAUACCGCAUAUGCCAUAGAUAUCACAUGAUAACAGUGGGAAAGGAGCAAUCCGCUAAUAGAUGGCCUUGCGUCUGAUUAGAUAGUUGGUGGGGUAACGGCCUACCAAGUCGACGAUCAGUAGCCGGACUGAGAGGUUGAACGGCCACAUUGGGACUGAGAUACGGCCCAGACGCCUACGGGAGGCAGCAGUCGGGAAUAUUGCGCAAUGGAGGAAACUCUGACGCAGUGACGCCGCGUAUAGGAAGAAGGUUUUCGGAUUGUAAACUAUUGUCGUUAGGGAAGAGAAAGGACAGUACCUAAGGAGGAAGCUCCGGCUAACUACGUG
rnacentral:rRNA from 1 species